rnacentral:lncRNA from 1 species
CUUAAACUCCUCCCUUCACCUUCAUAUGCAAUUGUUUUACAUUACACUACUAUAAUCUUAGAAUUGCAUGUGUAGGUUGAUUGCUUGACUUGUGCAAAGUUGCUAAAAUCUGCCAAGAACUAAAAUUCGGAAAAGGCUAGAUUUUUAUUUGGUCAAGUAGUCUAAUCACCCCCCUCUAGACAUACUUUCGAUCCUACAACCCCUCAUUUCAGAACAUUCAGAAACCAGAGAUGAUGUUGAAAUAGUUGAUGGAAAUUUAUCACCAUCUAUCAGUUUAUCUGAAUCCAAAACACUCAAUUCAGAACGUUUUUUGUUAAGGCCGGUUAUCAAAAUCUUGAAUGGUAGUUGGCUCAUAGUUGUGGUCAAUUUUCUGCAAUCACGAUAAAAAAUAGACGUUAAACAUCUCAUACUCACAUUGUUUAAACAACAAUUCGGAAAAUGAAUGCAUGAAGAGUUAUAUAACCAAUCUAGCUUAACAUAACUAUUUAAUAGGUUCAGUUUCUAUUCCUGUUUAAUCUGAAUAUAAAUACCACAACAGUUACCAACUUCAUGAUGUGUGUAUCAGGACCACAGAAACUUUCUGGAGUUUGCAUACUAAUACUCCAAUUUUGGAGUUUGCUUACUGAUAGUCCAAAAUAAAAAAGGUACAUCAUACAUUUUUCUGGAGUUUUGAUCAAAAUUUCCAAAAACGGCAGCCCAUUGAUAUUUGGAAAAGAGAUUUGAGGUGAACCAGAUCUUGAAGCAAGUUAAUUCUCAAACAUGUGUCAGGCGUAUAACACAUUACUUCCUCGGGGUAACUGAAUUUAACAGUACGAAAAACAUAUAUAGGUGGUUUCUGAUGGUCAUCACGAUACAUCAAACCAAACAAAUAGAACAUUUUUGUGAUGACAAAAUUACAGGAAGUCAGUAUGAUUCUACCUACAUCAAUCUAUUAGAAGGUACAUGUUACAGUAAGCAACUGAAGGAUAUAUAAAAUCCUGUCAAACUCAUGCUCUUUUCAAAUUUCAGUUUCAAAAAGAUUCUGAAACAUAACAGACAUGUCACAAAAAGCCAUCAAAAGAAACCGAUCAAUCAAUCAGAUCAAAUUCUACUGACACGUCCAUCUCCCUUGUUCAUCCAGAAGAAAGCAUAAAUAGGUGUCCUAACAGCCAGUGACACCAAGACAACGACAGGCAGCACGGCCGUCGGCCACACACCAAGAUUCUGGCUCCCACGGUCAGUCAACGUGGCUCUGCUAGAGGACAACCACAUGGGCGUCGCACUGACUCGAAGACCACAUGCAUGUGGAGCAUGAUCAUGGUGGCAGACUCCGACAACCACGAGUGCAGCAACUCCGGUGGCCAACAAACUUGUGUAUGUGCUAGGUACUGUUGUGAAUAGAAGGAACUUGCAAGCUUGCUAUGAAUGUGAUGAAAAAUGGCGUUGUAGACCUGUGAUGUCCUGACUUGAUUGAACUAGAAACAUAAAAGAAAAAAUGGGAGGCAGAUGACCAAUUGUCGAGCUGAAUGUGGUGUGUACUUGUAUUAGUUAAAACUGAUUCAUUUGUCGUACGAUUUUAUCUUUGAAAGAUGGUUGGAAGAGAAAUCUUAUUUACAUGUGGAUUAAUUCUGCAGAUGACUGGUCGUGCUUUUGCUUGUUUGCAAGCUGCAACAUCUGAAUUUCUUUACUUUGCACAUGGAAUAUGUAGACCGAUGGAAUUUGACAGCAUAAUAGCAUAUGUAUAUUACAAAAUUUGAUAGUCCCCUGCAAUUUGAUAGCAUAAUAGCAAUAUAUCAGAAAACUUGGCUGACCCAUGGUUUCUGCGACUCAAGAACAUGAAGAAUGAGUGAUUUCUGCAGCUGGAGAACAUGGCGAUUGAGGGCCAUAUCGAGGGGAAGUAGGAAAAGAGGGAAGAUGAAUCGAUUAAUUACCUGAUGGUCAAGUCUACGCCACCUGUGGCCUGGUUGGUGUCGCUCGACCGGCCGGCUCCAAAUCCCUCCAUCUCCUGCGCCCGUCCACCGUCGCCCCGCUCUGGCGAGCUCCUGGCUAGGAAGCCACACCUUCCCUCCUUUCUCCCUUCUUCUCUCCCUCACUUCCAAUCUUCUUUCUGCCCAGGAGCCGCAGAUGUCAUGGAUCCGCCCAGGAGGCCACGCCCUAGCCUUCCUCAUCGUCACUGGCGACCCCGGCGUCGCCGCCCGCCUCCGAAUCGGCCUCCCUAGCCCCUGCCGUGCACGGAUCUGGCUCGUGCAAGCAGCCACCGCCGUUGUUCCGCCGCC